GUGCCCGUUCUUCUAUCUGUCGAACUUUAUCAAGCUCGACAUUUGAGGUAUUGGUUCCUUCACUAAGGAACUACUUUUCUAAAAAGUAUGCAUUACUACUGAUGAACACCUUUUAUUUAUCAACUUGAUAGAAGUAAUACUCCUUAGUCUCUUUCGGAUAUCCUAUAAAUAAAUAUUUGUCAAAUCUAGGUCUGAGCUUAUCUAUUUUCAAAUGCUUGACAUAAGCAGGACAUC
rnacentral:lncRNA from 1 species